rnacentral:rRNA from 1 species
UACGAAGGGGGCUAGCGUUGCUCGGAAUGACUGGGCGUAAAGGGCGCGUAGGCGGAUGGUACAGUCCGAUGUGAAAUUCCCGGGCUCAACCUGGGGGCUGCAUUGGAUACGUAUGGUCUGGAGUGCGGAAGAGGGUCGUGGAAUUCCCAGUGUAGAGGUGAAAUUCGUAGAUAUUGGGAAGAACACCGGUGGCGAAGGCGGCGACCUGGUCCGUGACUGACGCUGAGGCGCGAAAGCGUGGGGAGCAAACAGG